UUAAGUGACUAAGCGUACACGGUGGAUGCCCUGGCAGUCAGAGGCGAUGAAGGACGUGCUAAUCUGCGAUAAGCGUCGGUAAGGUGAUAUGAACCGUUAUAACCGGCGAUUUCCGAAUGGGGAAACCCAGUGUGUUUCGACACACUAUCAUUAACUGAAUCCAUAGGUUAAUGAGGCGAACCGGGGGAACUGAAACAUCUAAGUACCCCGAGGAAAAGAAAUCAACCGAGAUUCCCCCAGUAGCGGCGAGCGAACGGGGAGCAGCCCAGAGCCUGAAUCAGUGUGUGUGUUAGUGGAAGCGUCUGGAAAGGCGCGCGAUACAGGGUGACAGCCCCGUACACAAAAAUGCACAUGCUGUGAGCUCGAUGAGUAGGGCGGGACACGUGGUAUCCUGUCUGAAUAUGGGGGGACCAUCCUCCAAGGCUAAAUACUCCUGACUGACCGAUAGUGAACCAGUACCGUGAGGGAAAGGCGAAAAGAACCCCGGCGAGGGGAGUGAAAAAGAACCUGAAACCGUGUACGUACAAGCAGUGGGAGCACGCUUAGGCGUGUGACUGCGUACCUUUUGUAUAAUGGGUCAGCGACUUAUAUUCUGUAGCAAGGUUAACCGAAUAGGGGAGCCGAAGGGAAACCGAGUCUUAACUGGGCGUUAAGUUGCAGGGUAUAGACCCGAAACCCGGUGAUCUAGCCAUGGGCAGGUUGAAGGUUGGGUAACACUAACUGGAGGACCGAACCGACUAAUGUUGAAAAAUUAGCGGAUGACUUGUGGCUGGGGGUGAAAGGCCAAUCAAACCGGGAGAUAGCUGGUUCUCCCCGAAAGCUAUUUAGGUAGCGCCUCGUGAAUUCAUCUCCGGGGGUAGAGCACUGUUUCGGCAAGGGGGUCAUCCCGACUUACCAACCCGAUGCAAACUGCGAAUACCGGAGAAUGUUAUCACGGGAGACACACGGCGGGUGCUAACGUCCGUCGUGAAGAGGGAAACAACCCAGACCGCCAGCUAAGGUCCCAAAGUCAUGGUUAAGUGGGAAACGAUGUGGGAAGGCCCAGACAGCCAGGAUGUUGGCUUAGAAGCAGCCAUCAUUUAAAGAAAGCGUAAUAGCUCACUGGUCGAGUCGGCCUGCGCGGAAGAUGUAACGGGGCUAAACCAUGCACCGAAGCUGCGGCAGUGACGCUGAUGCGUUGUUGGGUAGGGGAGCGUUCUGUAAGCCUGUGAAGGUGUACUGUGAGGUAUGCUGGAGGUAUCAGAAGUGCGAAUGCUGACAUAAGUAACGAUAAAGCGGGUGAAAAGCCCGCUCGCCGGAAGACCAAGGGUUCCUGUCCAACGUUAAUCGGGGCAGGGUGAGUCGACCCCUAAGGCGAGGCCGAAAGGCGUAGUCGAUGGGAAACAGGUUAAUAUUCCUGUACUUGGUGUUGCUGCGAAGGGGGGACGGAGAAGGCUAUGUUGGCCGGGCGACGGUCGUCCCGGUUUAAGCGUGUAGGCUGGUUUUCCAGGCAAAUCCGGAAAAUCAAGGCUGAGGCGUGAUGACGAGGCACUACGGUGCUGAAGCAACAAAUGCCCUGCUUCCAGGAAAAGCCUCUAAGCAUCAGGUAACAUCAAAUCGUACCCCAAACCGACACAGGUGGUCAGGUAGAGAAUACCAAGGCGCUUGAGAGAACUCGGGUGAAGGAACUAGGCAAAAUGGUGCCGUAACUUCGGGAGAAGGCACGCUGAUAUGUAGGUGAAGCGACUUGCUCGUGGAGCUGAAAUCAGUCGAAGAUACCAGCUGGCUGCAACUGUUUAUUAAAAACACAGCACUGUGCAAACACGAAAGUGGACGUAUACGGUGUGACGCCUGCCCGGUGCCGGAAGGUUAAUUGAUGGGGUCAGCGCAAGCGAAGCUCUUGAUCGAAGCCCCGGUAAACGGCGGCCGUAACUAUAACGGUCCUAAGGUAGCGAAAUUCCUUGUCGGGUAAGUUCCGACCUGCACGAAUGGCGUAAUGAUGGCCAGGCUGUCUCCACCCGAGACUCAGUGAAAUUGAACUCGCUGUGAAGAUGCAGUGUACCCGCGGCAAGACGGAAAGACCCCGUGAACCUUUACUAUAGCUUGACACUGAACAUUGAGCCUUGAUGUGUAGGAUAGGUGGGAGGCUUUGAAGUGUGGACGCCAGUCUGCAUGGAGCCGACCUUGAAAUACCACCCUUUAAUGUUUGAUGUUCUAACGUGGACCCGUAAUCCGGGUUGCGGACAGUGUCUGGUGGGUAGUUUGACUGGGGCGGUCUCCUCCUAAAGAGUAACGGAGGAGCACGAAGGUUGGCUAAUCCUGGUCGGACAUCAGGAGGUUAGUGCAAUGGCAUAAGCCAGCUUGACUGCGAGCGUGACGGCGCGAGCAGGUGCGAAAGCAGGUCAUAGUGAUCCGGUGGUUCUGAAUGGAAGGGCCAUCGCUCAACGGAUAAAAGGUACUCCGGGGAUAACAGGCUGAUACCGCCCAAGAGUUCAUAUCGACGGCGGUGUUUGGCACCUCGAUGUCGGCUCAUCACAUCCUGGGGCUGAAGUAGGUCCCAAGGGUAUGGCUGUUCGCCAUUUAAAGUGGUACGCGAGCUGGGUUUAGAACGUCGUGAGACAGUUCGGUCCCUAUCUGCCGUGGGCGCUGGAGAACUGAGGGGGGCUGCUCCUAGUACGAGAGGACCGGAGUGGACGCAUCACUGGUGUUCGGGUUGUCAUGCCAAUGGCACUGCCCGGUAGCUAAAUGCGGAAGAGAUAAGUGCUGAAAGCAUCUAAGCACGAAACUUGCCCCGAGAUGAGUUCUCCCUGACUCCUUGAGAGUCCUGAAGGAACGUUGAAGACGACGACGUUGAUAGGCCGGCUGUGUAAGCGCAGCGAUGCGUUGAGCUAACCGGUACUAAUGAACCGUGAGGCUUAACCUU
rnacentral:rRNA from 1 species